GUUAUGGAAUCGCGAUAGUUCAGUUGGUAGAGCAUCUGACUCGUACUCUUAAAGUCGUGGAUUUAAUACCUGCCCAUGCCA